UACGAAGGGUGCAAGCGUUAAUCGGAAUUACUGGGCGUAAAGCGCGCGUAGGUGGUUCGUUAAGUUGGAAGUGAAAUCCCCGGGCUCAACCUGGGAACUGCUUUCAAAACUGCUGAGCUAGAGUACGGUAGAGGGUGGUGGAAUUUCCUGUGUAGCGGUGAAAUGCGUAGAUAUAGGAAGGAACACCAGUGGCGAAGGCGACCACCUGGACUGAUACUGACACUGAGGUACGAAAGCGUGGGGAGCAAACAGG
rnacentral:rRNA from 1 species